rnacentral:rRNA from 2 species
AUUGCCCUAGUAACGGCGAGUGAAGCGGCAACAGCUCAAAUUUGAAAUCUGGCGUCUUCGGCGUCCGAGUUGUAAUUUGCAGAGGGCGCUUUGGCAUUGGCAGCGGUCCAAGUUCCUUGGAACAGGACGUCACAGAGGGUGAGAAUCCCGUACGUGGUCGCUAGCCUUUACCGUGUAAAGCCCCUUCGACGAGUCGAGUUGUUUGGGAAUGCAGCUCUAAAUGGGAGGUAAAUUUCUUCUAAAGCUAAAUACUGGCCAGAGACCGAUAGCGCACAAGUAGAGUGAUCGAAAGAUGAAAAGCACUUUGGAAAGAGAGUUAAAAAGCACGUGAAAUUGUUGAAAGGGAAGCGCUUGCAGCCAGACUUGCCUGUAGUUGCUCAUCCGGGUUUUUACCCGGUGCACUCUUCUAUAGGCAGGCCAGCAUCAGUUUGGGCGGUUGGAUAAAGGUCUCUGUCAUGUACCUCCUCUCGGGGAGAACUUAUAGGGGAGACGACAUGCAACCAGCCCGGACUGAGGUCCGCGCAUCUGCUAGGAUGCUGGCGUAAUGGCUGUAAGCGGCCCGUCUUGAAACACGGACCAAGGAGUCUAACAUCUAUGCGAGUGUUUGGGUGUCAAGCCCGAGCGCGUAAUGAAAGUGAACGGAGGUGGGAACCUUUCGGGGUGCACCAUCGACCGAUCCUGAUGUCUUCGGAUGGAUUUGAGUAAGAGCAUAGCUGUUGGGACCCGAAAGAUGGUGAACUAUGCUUGAAUAGGGUGAAGCCAGAGGAAACUCUGGUGGAGGCUCGCAGCGGUUCUGACGUGCAAAUCGAUCGUCAAAUUUGGGCAUAGGGGCGAAAGACUAAUCGA